CGAACAUUUCUAUUAUAAAAUCGAACGUUUCGAUAACAGAAAAUAAAAUGAACCUAAAAUUAAUUGCACUGGUCUUAGCUCUGCAUUUCACUAAGCAGACAGUUUCGUCCUUAACUACGCAAUAUGAAGAUUCAAAAAUUAUUUGGAUAAAACUUCCUCGACGUGUUCAGCAGUCUGAUCCAAAUGUGGAACGUCGACAAAAUCUUCCAACAGAUUUUUCACAAGAGCAAUUUGGAAGAGAAUUAAGUCAGCUGGAGUCCUCCAUGAAAUUUCCUACAUAUGGACCAAUUGUACAGCCAGAGUCUAAUUUAAUAUUUCCAUCCCCUGAGCAUCAAACAUCCAACAGAUAACAGCAACAAAAAAAAUAGCUUCGCAGGAAACACAAUAAUUAAAUUGGUUUUAAUUUCAUGAAAUAAAUAAUUUUUCGAAAUUUUAAAA